rnacentral:lncRNA from 1 species
UUGCCGGCUGAGCCAACUGAGUCAGUACGGGCUAACGUGGCUGGAUGAUCUGGGACAAGCCAUUCUCCCCAUCUUUACCUUGAAACCCUCAUUGAUAAACAAGAGGGUCGAACAAGGCAAGUACUAAGAUCCUGUCCAGUGGUUACAUUUUUGACUCUGUGUCUGGCACGUUGUAAGUGUGGAUAAGUAGCAGAUGGGAGUGGGGGACAGGGCAAGGAAUAGUGACCCACAUCUGGAGCCUGGGUGCUGGACAAAGAGAAUCUCUCUCACUGUCCCAGGGGGACACUGGGAGCCCUCAGGCCAAGUACAGCGACUGAUAGGCCGGCCAGUCAUCUGAAAGGUAUGCUUAGAUAGGGCCUGCUUGUUGUCUCUGAGGAAGAAGAGAUGUUGACUUGCUUCACCACAGAAGGCCAGCUAGGACCUGGGAAGCUAAUAUCAGCUUGGCAUAUACUGUGCUUUUACUGCUAGAACAUUUUUGACUUGUGAGGUUGUGAGUUCCCUGUCACUGAAUGAAUGUAAGGAUGUGGAGGAAGGGAUUCAGUUCAGUAGUUCUGAUGCGGCAGGGCAUCAGGAUCCUGGAGGAGUUUGUUCAUAAUACCUGCUGAGUGGGACUCCUGGGGGUGGGGGCUAGGUGUCUCUGAGCUACCUGGCCCUACGGCAGCUGUGCUACUGACCUCAGAAGACUGGGGCUAAAUAUAACCCAGCCUCCUUUACCCUAAAUGCGGCAUGCCAUUUAGGUUUCCAGUUCUUUGCAACCACUGACAGUAGAUGAAGAUCAACCACCUCAGGAGACCAUGAAUGUGAAGCUUAAUCAGUUGGCUUGGUAGCUGCCCAGAGCCUGGACAGAUGGCUUCCCUGGAGACCAGCGAGGACAUGGCUAGCAGGCAUCAUGCUUUUGGGGAUUACAUACUGGAAAGGUCUUGGAAAUCUUGCUUGGCCUAGAAGAAAUGUUGCUGUGGGAAGAUCUCCAGCAAGGCAUCUCCAUAAAUCUUUUCCUGUUUUCCUCUUGAAAUACGAAAUUUGGAAGAGUCAGGUAACAUCUAGAGAAAACCGCCUAUACUUGGAGGAAUCCUAUCAGGCGAGGGAGCAUUAUUGCCACCAUUUUACUGAUCAGAAAACUGAAGUUCAGAAAUAUUGCGAUUUGCUGAUGGUCACAUAG